GAGCACUUACAGGCACCUGCAGCGGAGCAUAAGGACUGGCAGAACAUGGAACAAACUAUCCCCAAGUAAAUGCAUCACAAUAGAACAGAUUUCAGCGGAGCAGCUUUCAAAAGCAAUAACACAAAGUCCCUACAAGGAGAAGUAACCAACCAGAAGCCUAAGAGGCAAAGAAAGUUUGAAGGCAGAGUUUUAAGAGAAUCACAGACUCAGCAGCAGAGUCCUGGAACACAAAAAUCUGGGGGGAAAGGAAGGGAAAAGCUUUCUCGGAUCAGCCUGACCCAGAUUUAUGUGUUUAUUUCUUGCAAAACCAAAACAAACACAAAUUUGUUUGGCUCGUGAAGGAAAUGUUCCAUUAGACCUGAAACAAAACAUUUUGUUACAGACACUUGUAAGCAAAGGACCUGGAGGCUUUUUCACACCACCGCUGCUGCUUUCUUCUCUAGUUCUGUGCGCAGUGAUGCUGCUUAACCUUUCUGGGAUGCGAGGCCCAUGUAACCUUUCACGUAAAACCAGGAAACCUCCUGAGGACUGAAGCCCCUCACCCAGCACUAACCACACAUUCCAGUCCUGCUAGGACUCUGCUAAAGCACGAUCUUAAUCCUGAAGUCUCUCGUAUCUUUGCAAGUUAUCUUAACCCACCAAGUCUGAAGAGGGGUGAGCAUCCAUUUCUUCUGGGAACUGAAGGAGUGCUGAGGAAAAAAAAGGUGAAAGAAAAAACUUCUGGAUGGAUACAAAGAGAGAUGAGAAGAUGGAGAGCCUGACAGCAAGUCAACUGGGUGGGGAAGUUUGGGAGAGCAGGACAAGAGUCAAUGUGGAGUUAUCGACGGAGCAGGGAGCCAGCAGUGGUAAGAACUGAGGUUUCGGAGGGCGGAGAAGCCAGCAUCCCACAGUGCCCAUGAAGGCCAUGGUCCCAUCAGCUCUGCCAUUAACCCUUCUGUGGGAUGACGUGACACGGGCUGAGUAUGACAUAAAAACUCCCUUUGCCAUGGAUGUGCCACAUCACAGCCACGGGAUGCUUAGGCAGAGCUGCUGUAUUCUAUCCUGAUAUGAAGUUCCACCUAAUGCUGAAGAUUUUCCCUUCAAAAUGUCAAAGAACAAGAAAGUCGGUGGGAAAGUUGUGUAAGACGACAUGCUACAUUUUAGGCAAGCCAACUGGGAAAUGGUAAGCACAGAGCAAUACUGCAGCCUAUCAAGGCACACAGCUCUUUAUGUGGGCACAAACUUCACAAAACUCACCAUCUGAAUAACGGGGUUGAAAACGCAUUUAAAGAAAAAAUACAGAUGAAAAGGACAGAUUCCUCUGCCUUGUGACUGCAGGCACUGGCCAGGAAUGCUCAAGGCACUUGGAUUUCAGCUGACAGACGGGGGCAGGAUGGAAACCUCACGAAGGCACUCAAAUGACAGAUUACCACGAAACACUGACGUGACCUGAAACCUAUUGCUAGACUAAUUUUAAAAAGAAAGGAAAGCUGAUGCGUGUAAGGAGAAAAGGAAGGGAAAAAGCUAUUCAGUGAGAUACAAUGAGAAAUCGUUCUGACUCCAGCGAGCAUUUUAAUUUCCUAACGCAAACAGAGAACUGAGCAGCACUGUGCUGAUCUUGCGGAUGUACAAUAUGUCCAACAUCCCUGGAAGGAGAAUUUUCUUGUGUGAUGUUGAGCUGGGCUUUGGUGAACAUGAAUUUAGUGGGAAAAGAAUGUCGUACUGUCAAAGGAUUUUGAAGGCUAGACCUUCCCGGGUAAUUAACUGAGCAGCUCAGGCUCAUACGCUUUCACUGGAAUAUAACCCUUCCCAGUUCUGUGGCUCUUCCUUGCUUCACCUGAUUUCUUCUCCCUGUACUGAAGACCUGAGAGCGACCAAAUAAACGCAGAGGAAUAAAAAGGUACUUUCCACAGAAUCACUACAUCAAGAUUGCACAGCAUCUCUUGCAUUAAACACAGGGGGAAAGAAUGAUGCACUGUGUGUAAUAAGAAGGGAACACCAUGUUUUGUGAAACAGCAAAGAUUGCAUGGAUACGAGUUGCAAAAUGCAAAGAAGAUGGGAUCCUUCAGGUUGUAUGGCUCUACUGUUCCUUUUCUAAGCAUAUAGUCAAUAAUUAUCACUGCAAAAUUCCCCGUGUUUUUCUUCAUCAAGUUCUUCACCCAAACCACAGACUGUACAUGCUUUGAAUUGUAUGGAAUUAAUUUUUAAUUUUUUUGCUUGAUUAAUUUAUGCAACUGUCCCGAUGAUUGUACUUUGCACAAGUGACUGUUAAGUGAUGUAUGAUACGAACCCAAGCAACACAAAAUAUCUUACCACGAGGACAGAUGCUCUUAAAUAAAACCCAAAUGCUGAAAAUAAAACAAAAGCCUACUUUUACCAGAAAUCAGUCAUUACAGUAAAAAAAGUUAGUAGUAAAGAAUGGGUCAGCAUCUUCUCAAAAGCUGAGCUCAAAUUAUUGUUCAGAAUAAAGAUACAUAUAAAGUUCAUCACUCUUUAGUCUUCCUGCCGGUUUGCUUCACAAUUUCUGUGAAGGGCGUUGACUAAGCAUAGGAGAUGGCUGCUCCUGUGGUAUUUCUUACUUUGUCAAGCUCAUAAAUCAUAGAAUCUCACCAAACUCUUCAUCUUUUUUUGAAUCCAACCUGGUUUCUGGGGCUGGAAGGACAGCUGGGACCUGCUGCCACACCAGGCAAUGGGUAGGAGAAGGCACUUUUUUUUUGGACAACCCAAUGUCCACAGACAAACUGCAGGCAUUAGUUUGCAUGGGGUGAAAUUGGGUGAAGGUACAUUUAUGCCACGCUCCUCAGAGAGCCUGAAUCUCAGUGAGGCCACACACCGCUGCCUGGUGCUCCGCGGGACUGCAGCUGCAAAUCCCAGCUUGAACCACGGCGGGUGCCCUGGGGAUCCCUCCACCCGACAGACCAAACCAUCACGGGGCUACCUCUAACAGAUGCACAGUGAAAGCACAGCGUGCCCAAGCUAGGGAACUGCACAGCCCUGCCUCCACGUAUCUAUUUUUAAGAUUCCUUCAUUUCCAAAGGAUCUUUUCUCCUGACAGCAUUCACUUGAUGAAUCUAUCCCGAUACAGACAUCAUACUCAUCGUGUUACAAUAGCGGCAGCAACAAUCCAGAAAGUGUUUUUGCGGCAUCCUUUUACACCACACGACUGCAGAGUAAACAGCAAACACUGAAGUGCUGAUUCUUCACCUGGAACAAAUCUCUGCGAUGUCAUAAAGCUGCAACGAUUGCUUCCGAUCAGGGCCCUAGGUUUCAAAGCAAGAAUUUUUUGAAGACUAAAUACUGAUCUAGAAAAACGUUAUCGUAUAGAAGAUAGCCUUUGUGUCAGUUUUUAGGCUUUGCAUUUAUUGCAUGAAAUUCCAUUAGUACUUUGCAGCUUAAAGCAACCCAGCAGCACUGACACGUGCUGUGCCACUGGCCUUACUGGGGGUGAGAGAGACAACACAGCCUGCAGUUCAGUGCUCGCUGAACGCGUUUCCUAUGUCUAUAGAUUUUGCUUAACUACCGUUACUUUAUCUCAAGUAGUUAUAAGUAACAGUUAUUAAUUAAUGGGAUAUUUGCCGAAGUUCGUUUCCUUUCUUCUUUUCUUUUACUGAAAAAAGGCACAAGGGGACAAGCGGAGAAGAGCUGAAGACACGCGUAUUCCAUUUGAAAUCCAUGAUUAAAAAGCUUAAAAAUUCAAAUCAACGUAAAAAACUGUUUUAUUUUAAUACCGUGGAAGGUUUCAGUGAACUCCAUUAUUUUCACUCACUAUUUGCUUGAAUAAUUUAGGCAAGAAAGCUAAAUUAUACAUAAAGUGUACAGUUAGAAGAAAAAGUUCAUGCACAGCCUCGGGCUAUAGCCAUCCCCUAAUGAUGUCUGUAGUCAGUGGAAAAGAACUCGUUAGACUGAGAGUAAUUUCUCGGGGUUUAAAAUUUUUUUCUUAAAGCAAUCAUGUUCUUAUAAAAAUCUGACAAAUAAUACGCUGAACCCGAAGCCACAAAACAAAGGCCGUUCCGAAAACCGCAGCCUCAACUUUUCAUUUCAUCUAACUGCAACGCUGGCUUCUCGGAUUCUGUGUGUCCUGUGUCUUUAGCCAUCAGUUCUUUAGCAAAAAGAACUGAUUCAAUGGAAGCAAUUCAUGUCUCGGUACCGCACAGCUCUUACUUUGUUUCACCGGAGACUGAAAGUUUGCAAGGAGUUAAAAUAGAUGCCAUGCAGCUCUCUGAGCGAAACUGGAGCCUGCUGUGAAAGAAGUUACUUCUACACUCGGCACACAGUCAUUUUGCUAGUGGUUGCGGCUCGCUCCGUGAUUGUGUUUAAGGAGCAGCUCAUACCAUUAAACAUUUACGGUCUGAUUCGCUGAAGUUUCGCAUGCCUUUUCAACUUGACUAGAGAAAGUGUGCAUGCCAAAAUGGAGCAUGCUGCCAAAACUCAGUGAAUUCACCUCUGAUGUCGUGUCUGUCCUCUUACCCCGGGCUCAGACACGGCAGCGGGGAGCUGUGCUGGGAGCAGGGAAUCAUUGUAUGGAAAUCAGCUGAUACGAAGUUUGUGCAUCAGACUUAUCAUCUUUUGAUCAAAGUAGCUCAGCCAGAUCAGAGAAAGAGACAAGGAGUUUUAUUCAAAGUGUUCCUUAGAAUCCUUUGCAUGAAAUGAAUAACUUUCUAUAGUAUUAAUGAUUUUACAUCACUUUAUACUUGUAUUAUUCUGUCACAUUAGUUUAACAUUACUACCAUGUACAGCGGUUUAGCAUUAAUGUGAUCAGAAGUGAAAUUACAUGUGCACUUUCAUAUUGUUAUAUUGAAAUCAAGGUCUUCUGCGACACUAAUAUGCAGCACACCUCAAUAAAAUAGAUAAUUUCUAACA